AUUUUAAGGGCUGCUGUGACAUAUCUGUCACAUCAAUAUUCAUUGCUGCUAGAUGUUUUUUAGUACCAAGGCAGUCCUUGAGCUGCGGGACCCCAGAGUGAUUUACAUAGGCAUCAGUUACGCAAUCUCUUUGUGAGGGCGCUGAAGUACAAUGAAAAAAAGUAUUUGGUUGGAGUUCUGAGCUGGUUUAAAAUGCACUACUGAAAUGGCUAACAGAACAAACUCCUCUGAGUACUUUUGGUCGUAUGAAUAUUAUUGGGAUUAUAUAGAUCCAAUUCCAGUAGAUGGAAGCAAGUUGAAGGUUAAUAAAUAUUCUAUUGUCAUAGCCUUUUGGGUUGGGCUUGCUGCGUUUGUGACGUUUCUUUUCCUUAUUUUACUGUAUAUGUCCCGCUCUGGAUCAACUCCAAUAAAACAAGUGAUUGUAGGGAACCAGGUAGAAGAAAGCAGUUCCAAUGGUGGACAGACUCACAGCGAUGAUCUCAGUGGCCCAUACUCAGAUGUGGUUGCUUCUCAAACAUGUACCUCCUUUUCAGAUGAAACUGGCAUUCAUGGAAGGACGUGAGCCUGAGUUAAAACUGGAACAGAUUAAACAAAACCAGCAGGACAGUUCUCCUGGCUGCAGACAAAUCAGUGCUGUGACUGCCUAUUGAACACUGAUACCACAAACCUCAAAUAGGUCAGGAGGAGGAGAAAAAGAAUAAUUUCUUUCAACAAAGGACAAACCUGAAGAAUCCUGGAUGCAUAAGAGGAAGUCCUAACAGCCAUAUGUGAACAACAUUGCUGGAGUCGCCUGAUCAACAUUUUAGAUCCUCAUGGUGAUGAUAACUAUAAAAUUUCUUUCUCUCCUGCAUAAGGAUGCAGACUCAAACUCCUCUGCCAGUUAAGUGGUGCAAAGGGUGUGCUGCCAGUUGAGUGGCUCUCAUUAAAACCCAUUUGACUGCAAGCA